rnacentral:rRNA from 1 species
UACGUAGGGGGCAAGCGUUGUUCGGAAUUACUGGGCGUAAAGGGCGCGUAGGCGGCUCGGCAAGUCGGGAGUGAAAGCCCGGGGCUCAACCCCGGAACGGCUCUCGAAACUGCCGGGCUCGAGUGCGGAAGAGGCAACCGGAAUUCCCAGUGUAGCGGUGAAAUGCGUAGAUAUUGGGAAGAACACCUGAGGCGAAGGCGGGUUGCUGGGCCGACACUGACGCUGAGGCGCGAAAGCCAGGGGAGCGAACGGG